rnacentral:rRNA from 1 species
GGAGGAAAGCAGGGGAUCGUAAGACCUUGCGCUUUUGGAGUGGCCGAUGCCUGAUUAGCUAGUUGGUGGGGUAAAGGCCUACCAAGGCGACGAUCAGUAGUUGGUCUGAGAGGACGACCAGCCACACUGGGACUGAGACACGGCCCAGACUCCUACGGGAGGCAGCAGUGGGGAAUUUUGGACAAUGGGCGAAAGCCUGAUCCAGCAAUGCCGCGUGAGUGAAGAAGGCCUUCGGGUUGUAAAGCUCUUUCAGUCGAGAAGAAAAGGUCGCGACUAAUAAUCGCGACUCAUGACGGUAUCGACAGAAGAAGCACCGGCUAACUACGUGCCAGCAGCCGCGGUAAUACGUAGGGUGCGAGCGUUAAUCGGAAUUACUGGGCGUAAAGGGUGCGCAGGCGGCUUUGUAAGUCAGAUGUGAAAUCCCCGGGCUUAACCUGGGAAUUGCGUUUGAAACUACAAAGCUAGA